UGCAUCUGCAGCCCAUGAGGAUGAGAACCUCCGGGGGCAGGGAGGUUCGACUCGAGCGAAGCGAGAGAACGUUGCGCCAGCAACGGCCCGCAGGGCGAGCCAUGAAGUGGCGAGUAAUCCUCUAUCACCGACCA
rnacentral:sRNA from 1 species